rnacentral:tRNA from 1 species
CCCCUGGUAGUCUAGUGGUUAGGAUGCGGCGCUCUCACCGCUGCGGCCAGGGUUCGAUUCCCGGUCAGGGGA